rnacentral:rRNA from 1 species
GAUGAACGCUGGCGGCGUGCCUAAUACAUGCAAGUCGAGCGAACAGACGAGGAGCUUGCUCCUCUGACGUUAGCGGCGGACGGGUGAGUAACACGUGGAUAACCUACCUAUAAGACUGGGAUAACUUCGGGAAACCGGAGCUAAUACCGGAUAAUAUAUUGAACCGCAUGGUUCAAUAGUGAAAGACGGUUUUGCUGUCACUUAUAGAUGGAUCCGCGCCGCAUUAGCUAGUUGGUAAGGUAACGGCUUACCAAGGCAACGAUGCGUAGCCGACCUGAGAGGGUGAUCGGCCACACUGGAACUGAGACACGGUCCAGACUCCUACGGGAGGCAGCAGUAGGGAAUCUUCCGCAAUGGGCGAAAGCCUGACGUAGCAACGCCGCGUGAGUGAUGAAGGUCUUCGGAUCGUAAAACUCUGUUAUUAGGGAAGAACAAAAGUGUAAGUAACUAUGCACGUCUUGACGGUACCUAAUCAGAAAGCCACGGCUAACUACGUG